GAUGAACGCUAGCGACAGGCUUAACACAUGCAAGUCGAGGGGCAGCAUGAUUUGUAGUAAUACAGAUUGAUGGCGACCGGCGCACGGGUGAGUAACGCGUAUGCAACUUACCUAUCAGAGGGGGAUAGCCCGGCGAAAGUCGGAUUAAUACCCCAUAAAACAGGGGUCCCGCAUGGGAAUAUUUGUUAAAGAUUCAUCGCUGAUAGAUAGGCAUGCGUUCCAUUAGGCAGUUGGCGGGGUAACGGCCCACCAAACCGACGAUGGAUAGGGGUUCUGAGAGGAAGGUCCCCCACAUUGGUACUGAGACACGGACCAAACUCCUACGGGAGGCAGCAGUGAGGAAUAUUGGUCAAUGGCCGAGAGGCUGAACCAGCCAAGUCGCGUGAAGGAAGAAGGAUCUAUGGUUUGUAAACUUCUUUUAUAGGGGAAUAAAGUGGAGGACGUGUCCUUUUUUGUAUGUACCCUAUGAAUAAGCAUCGGCUAACUCCGUGCCAGCAGCCGCGGUAAUACGGAGGAUGCGAGCGUUAUCCGGAUUUAUUGGGUUUAAAGGGUGCGUAGGUGGUGAUUUAAGUCAGCGGUGAAAGUUUGUGGCUCAACCAUAAAAUUGCCGUUGAAACUGGGUUACUUGAGUGUGUUUGAGGUAGGCGGAAUGCGUGGUGUAGCGGUGAAAUGCAUAGAUAUCACGCAGAACUCCGAUUGCGAAGGCAGCUUACUAAA
rnacentral:rRNA from 1 species